AUUCCCUGGGUCCUGUCACUGCUCUGGGAAGACACUGUAAACUGUGUGAAUGUUCCAACAAAGACACGUGAGCUGAGUCUUCUGUAAGUCUGUCACAUCAAAGGUUAAGUUUCUACUUCCCUGAGCACUGCUAGAGAAUUUAUAUAGACAUUAAGUGGAUCUAGUUCAGCCCUUGAGACAGGGUUGGGUUCUUCUAAACUCAAUUUCCACUGCUUUCUCCUUGUCAGCACCAAUAAUUAUUGAAGACUCCUUCCCCUUUUUUGUGUUGAGGUACCUAAAAUGCCAGUGGUUAAUAUAGCCAUAAAUCUACUGUGCUCUUGAGAAGACCUCACAGCUAAAUGCCUUGAAAGGUCUUAUGUAGGAGUGUUCCCAGCACCUGCUCAGUUAAAAAUUGUCAGGGAGGUUUAGUUUAAAUAACAGAUUUGCAACAAAUAAAGAAGAAACUGAAAUCCUGUCCAGCUGUGAGAUGCCAACGGUCAAUUUUCCCUUUCCAAAUGAGCCUUGUUGUUCUUUUGGAAGGGGAUGAGAAUUGGGACUCAGAAUUCAAAUGUUCCUGAUCUGGGAUAGGAGGCAAAGUUCAAAAUCCACAGUGGGUUUUGCAGGAUGGAGUCAAAUUGGAAUUACUUGCUUGUAAUAUCGUUAUGUUCCUACAGCACAUAGCCAAUUAAUGGGAUAAGGUAAGUCAGAGCAGGGGUGAGACUGUUUAGGGAUAUGGAGAGUUCUAAGCUCCAUUAUCUAGUUCCAAGGCUCAGAUAACUCUGUUCCCAGAGCAAACCUUCCACUAAGCUGAAGUCACAGCUGUUAGAAUGCCUUAAAAAGUUGUCCUGAGGAAAAAACCCUCACGUGAGGGUUGUGGUGAUCAACAAAACACCGAACUGCCUCCGAGAUGAGCCCUUGUAGGAAACCUGCCCCCUCCUCUCUGAAAAUAGAAGUUAAUAAUUUGUAAAGUGCCUCUUUGUGAACUCUUACACCACUGUUAACCUCUCUCCCACGCCUUGUUUUCUAGUUAACAGGAAAACAAAAGCAGAUCAGAAAUACCAGGCGUUCCUGACUCUCCACGAGCAUCAACUCCCUGCUCCUGUUACCACUUAUUGCUUGCCUAUUCUUGCAGUCAAGAAAAUAUAUUGCAGGGCACUGCCUUGUAGGCAGAGCCUUGGAACUGAAGCUGAGUCUCCCUGCUGCAUUUUAAGGUCUCCAGGCUGUUGUAGCUGUCCCCAGAGGCUGGAGAGCAGCCAGCUGGCUGGAGCAGCUGCUGGCCAUGCAGGAGGUCUCACACACUGCAGUGCUGGGACCCUGGCAGGGGGAGACCUCACUGGCUGCUGAAAAAUCAGGAGAGUCUUAGAGCCAAGUGCUAUGUGCUCAGCUGAAGAUGGAUGUGGCAAUCAGAGGUAAAACGCUGCUCCAGUGAAACACAGGAUGCUCUCAUGUGGCGGGCAGGGCUUUGUGCUGCUCUCUGGAGAUGCUCUUCACAGGACAGAGGCAGGGAGAGCCUCGGGGUGUGUCCAAAAGCAGUGACUUCUCCAGGGUUUGCUCCAGGAAGGAGUCGAAGUAGCUGUUGACCGUUUCGAAGCCGUCCCGGAUGGUGUCGAUGCCCCAGUCGGAGUAGGAUGACUCUGCCUGUGGGUCCUGGUGGCCGGUGCUCUCCCGUGCUGCCCCCUCGGAGCACUGCCCUGGCCCCAGGCAGAGGCACAGCAGCGCUGCCCGGAGCAGCAGCCUCAUGCUGCAGUGCAACCCCGGAGCCUCGGGAGCAGGGAGCAGUGGGAUCGAGCUGCCCUGGGUGGGAGGCAGGAUAUUCAGCCUCACUGUGUUGCUGCUUCUGACUGGCCAGAGCCCCGUGGUAGUGCCUGUGUCUUUCUGGAUAUGGCCAUGUGUGAUGUGCUCCAGACUUGGGAUAAAGGAGGAAGGACCACAGCCAAGUCUUGGUUUCCCAGGCAGGUUCCUGAUGGCCACGAAUUAAGCAGGAGCUCCACUGCUCCCGAGGGUGAAGCCAGGAAUGGCUGUGGUCUAUAAACCACCGAGGGUUUGGAUAAGGAAGAUGUCAGCCUGACCUUCCUACACGGAAGUGGCAGGAGUUACCUGCAGCCAUGGAGCUUAUGAAACUAAAAAAAGAUGGGAAAGAGAAAAAAAGAAGACCAUGGAUAGGAAUGGAGAUGGAUGAAAAAGGGAGAAAACUCAGGGACUGACAGCUCUGCAUCAUUCCAGCUCCGAUAACGUGCACGGCCUUCGGAAUUCCUGUCCCCGCUCGUGGAGCCAUUUGUUGGAUACUGCAAAGACACAAAGGGAUGGGAUCACUGCAUGUGGGGAGCACCUGCUGAAGGUAAAUGUGCUGUUGGUUAAGCACAGCAUUACCUUAGUUUCUUAAAGUGUUUUAGUUGUGGAAUCACAGGGUUUGGGUCGGAAGGGACAUUAAAAUCAUCUCCUUCCAACCCCCUGCUAUGCACAAAUGUGAAGUUGGUCUAAUAAAUACAAGAACGAAAAAAACUUCCCUGCAAAACUACAGAAGACUCUUAAAAGAGGUGCAGUCGUACAGGUACUUUAUACAUAUAAUAAAAUAUGCUGCUAUAUAGAAUAUCUGUAAUGUAUAGAGAUGAAGUAGAUAAAGUAAAUUAAAUAGACUUCUUUAUAAAGAACUGCAUUUCUGGGUGCUUUUUAUCCCACCAUGAAGUCCAGAGGAAAAAGAAAAGCAAGGCAAGGCUCCCCCCCAGGCCCAGGCUGGGUUCCCAGGCAGGUACUCACCCCAUUUAUUCCCCACUAGUACCGGGCAGGCCGCGUGCCGGGUGCUGUAAUCGCCUUCUCCACUCGGGAACAGAUUGUACCAGAACACAGCUGUUCCCUGGGAAUGGCAGGGGACACCCUCAGCAUUCUGCUCUGCACAACACACACUUAAACACCAACUCACUUCAGGAUAAAGCAAAGGUAAGUGCAUUUGUAUUUCGGAUUCUUUUACGCUGGAGGCCCUUUUCCACAGUCUAACAUUUGCUUCCUUAGGAAUGAGUCUCCUUUGACUUAUUUUGUGUCCGUGUAAUACUUGUCUCUUAAUUAUUUUUUAAACCUCAGGACAGUGUCAGUGAAGUCCUGACCAGUUUUAGAAAGCAAGAUUAUUUACUAAGAAGGUAGACCUUAUCUGAGACCCUGCUAAGGGAAAAACCUAACAGGAACAUGACAUUCCAAGGCCAAUUCCCUACAGAUGCCUCAAGACUAAAGCAACUUAAGAGAUGUGAAUGUUUUCAGGAUGUGUUUCGAAGCACUGUAAUGUUUUGCAGAGUCUGUGCAUUAGAAGCAGCCAAGUUCCAAAUGUAACACAGGGAAUGUGGGGGCCCUUGGAAUCACCGGCACUGCUCUGAACCGUGAGCACCUCUGUGCUGCCAUGAACAGGGCUGGGAUUUCCCUUCUUUUAAAGGUUCAUUUAAAGCUUCUUUCAUGCCUGUGCUGUACUUUGAGGGGGUGUAGAGAGGCAGUUCCACUGGAGAAAUCCCUGCUCACCUUUCUGGGCCAAACGCUGGCUCCGACUUCAGGAAAGACCGUGGCUCCCCCUGCUGACACGUCACUCAUCUGCACAGGUGGGAAACACAGGAGCAAUGAUUCAUCUGGAAUCCAAACCAGCUCAAGCAGCUCCAACAGAAAGAUGUUCCCAGCAGGAAUAACACAGACCCUCUAAAUCAGGCUGCCCUGGGCUCUGGAGGAGAAUUCUACCUCCUACUCCAGAUUUAGGUGUCAAAUUCUCUUGGAAUGUCCAUACACAUCCUGGAAAUCUGCACAUGGAGGAAUGCAAAGGGGAAGCAGGACAAGGGCAGUCCCCCUCCACCCUCAAGAAAUGGUCUUCCCUAAAUUCUUGGAUGUUUCUUCACAAUUCUAAUUCCGGGGUCCAGCAAGAGACUGGAUUUAAGAACUUAGCAAAGUCUGACUGGAGAGUGCCUUAGGUGUGUUGGUAGGAAGUCCCACAGUGCCACCUUUUUGAGCACCAAACCUUAAGUAAGGUCCCAUUCCCCAGGAGCUGGCCAGGAGGCUCUAUCCCAGGUUUUCCAUUGGCUUUCCAUGCUGGGUGGUGCUUUGUACUGUUCUUUCCCUGUGGCAGCUGCAAUACCUCAGGGCAUAACACUUCUACUGAUGAAAAAUCACAACUCUAAAUCAAAAUUUCUUUUACUGAAGCUCAUCUAUUUAAAUAGGGGGCAAAAUUAUGCAUCCCAAUUUCCAUCAGUGAUCUGCUUCUGCAACUCCCAAUAUUAGCACAGAAACCAUGAGGAGGUGAGGGAGGUUCCUCAGCAAUGCCACAGAGCUGGCUGGCACAGAGGACAAAUCCCAGGACUGAAUAAAUGCUGUCUUUAAAAUAUGCAGUGACAAACAACCAAGGUAGAUGAGACAUGGACAAGACUUGAAUAUUAAAAGCAAAAAAAUAAAAUUUAAAUGCAACACAUGUCCAACAGGAAGACAAAUGUUCCUAAAGUCAAGUCCCUCUGGAAGGGGGGCCUGUGGGGGGCAGUUUUAAGGAGCAAAGAGACCAUUUCCAAAGUAUUCCCACUACCUGUGUGUGCCCAUGAGCACCUAGACCCACGUGCUCCAGAGGUGCAAGGCAAUUUUCAAAGGAUAAAAAUUAACGUUUCCAACUUUUAACAACAGUGGCCUUAGGAUCUGACCUCAGCUCCAAUGGUUUUCCCAGUUUUUCUAAGACUUAUAAUCACUCCUGAAUCAAUCACCUUCCUGUGAUCCACUAUUUGGAAGCAAUUUUACCUUUUUAAAGACAUUCAUAGCUCAAUAAAAGCCCUCAAGCUACAGCCCAUUCUAAUUUCCAGGGGUUUGUUCAGAGCAGCUGAGAGAACACUGGGUUUCUAGUAAAGCAGCAACUGCAUUCCAUCAUUUCAACAGGGAAAUCCUUUACAACCACCACCUAGCUUUAAUUUGCAGCAUUCCCAGGAAUCCCAGCAGCUCCUGGUUUCAAGCAGGCGUGGAUAUCUGGCAGUUUAGGAGCAGAGGUGAGCCGGGCAGGUCCCUGUUGCAGCGGGAGUGGCAGCGGAGCUCGCGCUCACGUUUAGUAUGUUAGUGGGAGCAGACAAGCCAUGCUCAGCCAAAGGCACUUCCACCUUGGAAUACCACCAUUUCCAACCGAUCCCUACUCCAGCAGGCCACGUGCUUUGUGUUACAUGCCAGCUCAGCUCACUCAGGCCCCUUUCUAAAGAAAGGCUUAAGAACAGAGGUCACGCCAAGUCCUCGCCCCGCACGCUCAGCGCUGAAGCAGCACAGCCCCAGGACAGCCUUCCUCGGCCAGGGAAUCCCUUGGAAGACGCUCCCUUACCUCUUCGAGACUCUGUAAUGUGCUGUGGUCAGUUUGCCAGUCUCGGGGUCAUGCACAGUAGCCCGGCUCAGCUACAAAAAGAGAAAGGACAAGGCUUACCCACCUCGCAGGCUGCGCUCUGCCAACCCCAGGGCUUCCAGAGGGUUCCGAUUGCUCCGGAUGCAAAGCUCACAAAUUAGCAAGGUUGGGAGGGUAACAGAAGCUGCAGCUGCUGUGUUCAAAUUGCACCAAAUUGGUUGGAAAAAUUUGGUUAGAUUGUCCUUUCACUUUUUUUCCUCCCUUUCUAAACUUUUUUUUUUUUCUUUUUGGUUUUAACUUUCUGCGAGUAAUUUCUGAUGCUGAGUUUCCCAGACAAUUCCUCUCCACCCAGAAGUUUAAGUAAGUCCUUCCUGAUGGUGUGCGUGGCCAAUCUUUUAAUUAACACAACUAAAACCAUGGGAGGGCAAGCAGGGGCAGGUGGCUUUUCAGAUCCAGCCAAUUUUGGAAAAGGCUGGCUAAAUUCAAUACUUGCAGUACUUAGUAGACAAGCUGAAAAGAACCAGGAGCCUGGUGAAAAUGAGCCAGAUUUGUGUCAGGCAGGAGGUAAAGGAGCCCAGCAGGGAGUAUGGGAUUAUCCUGGACACAGAGAUGCUCUGUGUGUGUGUGUGUGUGUGUGUGUGUGUGUGUGUGCGCACAGCAAGGACUCAAAGCAUCUCUUACACCUGUAAAGGCACUACACAUUUUCCAAGGAAGGGGAGGACAACUCUUGGUUGGUGAGAAGAGCAAGGGGAAAGGAAUAUAUAAAUUAAAACCAAACUCCAGGUUUUACUGAAGGUUUUGUAGCAUCACAUGUUUUUCACACUGACUGCAGAGACCUGACCGUUGGAAAACACACACCGAGAAGGCGCCCGAAAAAGAAAGAGAACAAAUCCAAACACGCCCCCAGAACUUCCAGCUGAAGGAAGAGACUGAGAAACUCAGCAGGAACAGCCUGUCACGGAUCUGCAGGGAACAGCAGGGUGGACUCCACGGUUGUUCUUUAGCCCACCUCUUGUCUCCCCAGAAAGAGCAGGACGUACACACUCAUUCCAGGCCCAAGACCUCUGGCACGGAGCUCUCUUACCUUUUGCUAAUUCUGUAAUGUGCCGUCUCCAAGGCUCCCGUUAUGGGGUUUGAAAUGGUGGCUCGCCUCAGCUGUGAAGCGAACCAUCAGAAUAGUUGCAUUACAAGCACAAUCUGCAUCCCAGCAAUCCGACCCUCAGAAGCCUGGGGGGAUAAUGCCCGGAGCUGCCGCGCCACCGCCCCGGCACUGCCACUGCCCCGGCACUGCCGUGCUCGCCUCACCGGGAACCGGGGCAGCCUCCACUCUCACUAAAAACACGGGGGUCCUGUUUGGGGUUGGUUUUUUAGUGUUAGAGAAGAUCAGGUUUUCCAGAAGUCCUGUUUCCACGCCUGCAGCAAGGAGAACAGCUGCUGAAUAGAGCAAACUAGAGGCUUUUGUUCCCUUUGCAUUGCAGCAGCUGCUGGGGCAGCACAGUGCUGUGGCAGGUGAAUGAAUACCUGGUGCUUUGUUACUCUGUCCGGCACAGAGGACAAGGAGUUUCACAGGUAAAGUGGAUCCAGGCAGCACCAUCAUUCUCAACAAGCCAAAGAUGAAUAAACCCUGCUUUUUGGGUUCUUCCUAUACCAAAAGCAGCACUGAACUCUUCUGUGCUCACACAAACUACUGCUUCAUCCAUGGUUGUACUGUACUCCCGAGAUACACAGAGUGAAACUCUUGGCUCAAGGCCUUCCUUUCCUUCCGUUACGCUCCAUUUACUUCGUGCCAUCCCAUGUGUGUUAAUAUUCCAGUUCAGGACCUUACAUGCACCCUUUAGCUUGGUUCAUGUUCUAUCAGACACUCCGUCUCUCAUAACUGGGGAGGCUGAGGUGCAGAGCCCAAAUUCUGGAAGAGGCACAAGGCAAUACCAAGUCCUGACUAACCAGAAGUAUGUCUCUACUGUUAAACUAAGUAAAUCAACACCUACUAACAAGAAAAGGCACUGGGAGUUCCUAAUAUGCUGCCUCUCCUCUCAUCCCAUGCAGACACAUAAAAACCAAGGCACAAACCACAAUUCCAGCGAGACUCCCACAGCUGAAUAACGAGCUGAAUAAUGCCAGCACAGAUCAGACAGUGCUGUCAUCCCAGAGGAUGGCAACAUCCCAAGCAUUGGGAAUGAGAUGACCUUUCAGUCUCCAGAAACACAAUCCCUCUGGCUGCUGAGCCGUGCAAGGCCUCGGCCGUAGGGAAUGCGUGGAACGACGGCCACAUACAGAUGCUGCUGCAUUAAUGACCUGUGGAUCUCUAAGUCUUUGCCAUGAGCCAAAUGUCUGACAGGAAAACAACGACCUCAGCAAGUCCAGAAGUUACAGUGACCACGUCCACAGGUUUUCUGCUCCCUAAGGAAGUGAUCUGGUCACAUUCCACAGACACAGUGCCAGUGCUUUUGCAGCACUGAAGGGGCUCAACCACCUACAGCCCAACACACAGGGCUCUGUCUCAGCCCUGCAGCAAAGCUGUCUGCCAGGAGAGCAGGAGAUGCCUCACAGUGAAGUGAAAAAGCUUGUACUUCCUGCUUACAGUUCAGACUGUCCUCUCAGGAAUCACAGAACAGAAUCACUGAGGUUGGAAAAGGCCUCCAAGGUCAUCGAGUCCAACCUGUGCCGGAUCCCCACCUUGACCACCAGCCCAGAGCACUCAGUGCCGUGGCCAGUUGUUCCUUGAUUAUUAUGUGCACUCAGAAACAGCCAUCUUUGCAUCCAGUGUCUGGAACAGGGUUCAAGAGCCACCACAGUCAAUAAGAAGGCAAAUAUCACCAAUUAAGCCCUGCCCUCUUAAAGGUUUUUCAUCUGCAGGCAACUUCCAAGCCUGGGAGACAGCAGCCAGUUUUAUACCAAAAUGGAGGCUACAACCAUUCUGUCUUGUCUGCACAAUAAGGUGGCAUUCCAGGAGCAGAGGAAAGGCUGCCUUUCCCUAGACAGCACUCUUCUCCAGACUUUAAAGGAAAAAGCAAAAACCAGACCCCCCAGCAAAUACCAGGAAUACUCCAAGGCACCCUAGCUGCAGCACGUUUCUUUUCUGCUGGAGAAAAUCAGUGUGUGCUGAAAUUGUGCCUGCUGGAAGAGCCCUGCCCUGCUGUCAGCUGGCUCUGCCCAUCACACAGCAUUCCCAGCUUUCCCCACCAUCUCCUGCAGAGAGCGUCACCAAGAGCUGCAGGGUGAGGAAAGCGAGGUGUGAGGGCACUGCCUGCCACAGGACACAUCACACCCACUCACACAGGAAGCACACGGGGAAUUUGGGAUUCCAAAGGCAAAGGAGCAUGAGGCAUUUACCCCCAUGGAUUUUCAGAUUCCAAAGGCAAAGGAGCAUAAGGCAUUUACCCUCGGCUUGGCCAGUUCCUUCACGGUCUCGAUCUCCUCGUCGGAGAUGAUGUCCAGGAAGCGAACGAUCCGGGGCUUGUCCCACUCAUCCUCCUGCUUGACAGGGCCCAGGAUGUACCUGGGAUUCCUGUUCCCGUCGUAGUAGCGGCAGAAGAGUCUCUUUUGUCUCCGAGGAGUCUGGAAGGAGGCAGAGCCAGAGGGUCAGAGAACUUCCACGGGACAUUAAUAUCUCCAAGAAACAGAAAUGUCCUGAGGACAAGACAAGGGAACAACCCACCUUCCCUACCUCAUUGUUACGGGUUAAAGGGAUGCUUUCAGUUUAAAAAAAUUAGUACUGUCAGCACAUGAAUGUUGCUGUGUAAUACUUCAACAAGCAUUACUUGACAUAGUCCUAUUAAAGUAAUUUUCUCACUAAAAAACCACCCUUAUUUAAUUCUCUAAGUAACUCUAGACUUCCACCAUCCUUACUCAAUUAAUCCCACUGAUGUAGCACAUCCAAGUCAGCCAGCACAGCCCUGCCUGUGGCACUAUUACUUUUAGUCUACUGGACUGACUGAAACAGGGAAGAAAUCCAACACACUCAUCCAGCUGCUCUAACAACUUCCUUGCUUCCACACCACACACAAAUUCCUGACAUUGCUUUGUUGGGUUCAAACAUGUGAGAACAGUCUACUCCACUUUACCAUUUUGAGCCCCUCCCCACGGCACAGCAUUUCGUACUUCCUUCUCUCAGGCAGGUAAUCCUUUUUCUUAACCUCAGUUUCCUUCUCCUGCUCUUCUGAAUCCGUGCUGGACUUAUUUCCUUCUUUCUCUUUGGCCAUGAUAUAUUCAAAAUAUUUCAUGUUCCCGUUGGCUCUUUGAUGUUCAGGAUCUAUUGACAAGGAAAGAGGGGAGGGUCACUGGCAGCUCUCCAGCUGGGGAGGGAUUAUCCCAAAGUGGCUAUUUACAGGAAGCAAAAGGAAACAGAGGCACACUAGUGCUUCCCAAACCCUCACUGCACACGCAGGUCCCAGCACUCAGAAAAAGGGUUUGGGCCUUCCAGCCCAUCUCACCAGUGAGGGAGAGACAAGGGAAUGAGACAGGGAGAGAGCUGGGACAGCAUGAAACCUAAACAGUACCUUGAUGGGAUUUAAGAUUUCUGGGGACAAAGCUUUUAACAAUCACUAAACUUACAGAAGCUUCAGAUCUUUGAUAAAUGGCUCUCGGGAGCUUUUGCUAUGUUAGGUUUAGUUCUGAGCUUCUCAGUGCCUCCUUUACACAGUCAAUCAGCAAAGUAUUCACAGCAC